CAGCAGUCUUGUGGCUGUGAGGGCUCCUGCCUAGAAAUGAAGCCCCAUCCUCAGAGGCCAGCAGACCCAGAGAUGCAUGAACAAUGCUGCUCCUGGAGGCCCCAGCACCCUUUCUCCCUUGGAUGGCAAACCAUGGACUGUGGACAGAUCCAACAGGAAUAGAAAGGACAACACAGCAUGGCUGUCCUAUGCCCUCAGGGGAAGAGGGGAAGAGACCAUGUAUCGUCCUCCCCAGGCCUGCCUUUGCCAGCCCCUGACCCCACAAGCCACAGAGCGUCCCUUGCAAGCAACCACUCCUUUCAUCUCAAACACCUAAAGGACCACCAGAAGGGCAAGCCAAGGAGAGACUCAAACAGCUCUCACUACUCCAGGUCACCUCGCCCCAGAACCAAGCCCUGGCCCCAGGAGAGCAAUGACCUGGAGACGUGACCCUUCAGGAUGCAGUGUCCAUCUCCAGCCACCCCCUCUUGAGUUCUGCCACAUGGCCCAGGAGGCCGGCCAUGCUUUUCUGCUGUGCAGCUUUGGGUAAAUCCCCAACUUCUCUGGUUCUCCUGCAUGUUCACUGGAGAGGAAGCACGGUGGCUCUGCACUCUGGAGCCCCAUGGGUGGGAAGUACAGGGCAGAGACUGCGGGGACCAUUGCCGCACCCAGGUGGCCCGAGCAUCGCCAGCCCCAAGGUCUGCGUGGAGCUCGGGGUCCGGCCCAGAGAGACUCUGAUUCCUGACCUUUCCCAGAGGGUCUAACCACUGGAGCAGCUUCGCGGACACCUCGGGUUUAGCUCGCUUGUGCCUGGGGCUCUGGUGGAACCCCCAACCUGCAGAACCCCCAACUCCACGGCUCCAACGCUGUGAGCAGGCCCCCACUUCCUCCCCUCCUGUCACUAAGUGACCCUGAAAAAUCCAGCCUGUUCUCCGGACCUCAGUUAUCCCAUCCGUGCAGGAUGAACACAAAAACUAUAAUCUGAAGACGCUGUUUUUCUCUCUAAACCGGAAAGCUAGGACUACCACGGAUCCGCGUGCCGCGCGCGCCCUCUAGUGUCCAGUUCCGCCGCUGCACCAUUUUCAGGGCGAAGCCCGGCCCCUUUCGUGUAUUGGUUAAUAAAAGAGGCGAUAGAAAAGGGAUUGGAUAAAUCAACCUCCGGGUGCAUCAGUAAUAGAUGAAUGGCAAUGAAGGAGUGAACAAUGGAAUGGAUGGACAUUAAAAUGAAUGCACGCACAAAGUGAAUAAAUGAGCAGUGAAACUGA